UCGAAGGCCCGCUCCACCAAGGCAGGAGGCCUCCCUCUACCUGAGCGCCCGCCUCUGGAAUGAUCUCGGAACUACCAUGCCCAAGAUCACCAGGCUGGGCCACAGCAACGCGUGGCAGGGGAUGGCUAGUUAUUUCUAAAUCAUACUACAGACAGCGACAGACCACAAACUUCAGAUCUUGCAAAGGUGUUUAGUAACCACAGCAGAAUCCACCCAGUUCAAGAAGAGGUCAUUUGGCACCGACACUCCAACUGUCUCCUUGUGACUAAGCAUGGAUUGUCUGUCUUAGCAAAACAAUAUUUCACAAACCAAACACAUAAGCGUUAGGAAGAAUUCACCUGUUGUUCUUGUGUAACUGGAAAUUCAAGGAGAACAAAAUAAACUCAGCCAAGGUUGUUCCUGAUGCACUUAGAUCAUGUUA